CUUUUCUGAGCAGUGACAGCUUAGUGUAAAGUUCCUCUGAAACUCUCACACUAUGAUUUUUCUUGCUUCUAAAGAUGACAUCUGCAUUUCUUUCUAUUGUUCUGAAUAUCUCUUCACCUGUCUGGUGUCUUUCUAAAGUCAACAUGUGAGCCUCUAAUUGCAGAGUGUUUGUUUAGUGACUAGAACAGACUUUUCAGCUAAUCUCUGAUUCAUUUCCCCUCAGACUUUGUUUAGAGGCUGUGAGGGACAGUUCCACAGCAUAUGCUACACCUGUUAAGGUGGAUUAUCACAGACCUUGGAGACCAAUUAAUUAAGAGUGAUUUCAAUGAAACUUGAAGGCUGCUGAAAGAGAUAAAAGCAGAAGACACAGGAAAUAUUGGUGGAUAAAAUGCAGUUCCACAGAUGGUAGAGUUGUUCUUACAAUACCAUCACUCUCAGCAGCAUGAAAAUGACUCAUCUACACAAAAGAAAGAACCCAAAUAUUGGAUCUGUUGUAUAUUACUGGGGAUGGAGAAUGAAGGAUUUACUGCUUCCUGCUCAAGGUGACUCCCAAAAACCUCAGAGAAAAUGCCCCCAACUCUAACUUGUAGUGAAAGGAAAUCAUCCAUCUAUCAAAACAGCCAAUUAUGAAUAAUCCAGAGGUUCAGAUUUAUCUAGAAUGGUUUCUAUUCAAAACCUAAAACCAGACUAAUUUCAGUCUGAUUAUUAAAAAAUGAUGUUGUUUG
rnacentral:lncRNA from 1 species